rnacentral:rRNA from 1 species
GACGAACGCUGGCGGCGUGCUUAACACAUGCAAGUCGAACGGAAAGGCCCUGCUUUUGUGGGGUGCUCGAGUGGCGAACGGGUGAGUAACACGUGAGUAACCUGCCCUUGACUUUGGGAUAACUUCAGGAAACUGGGGCUAAUACCGGAUAGGAGCUCCUGCUGCAUGGUGGGGGUUGGAAAGUUUCGGCGGUUGGGGAUGGACUCGGGGCUUAUCAGCUUGUUGGUGGGGUAGUGGCUUACCAAGGCUUUGACGGGUAGCCGGCCUGAGAGGGUGACCGGCCACAUUGGGACUGAGAUACGGCCCAGACUCCUACGGGAGGCAGCAGUGGGGAAUAUUGCACAAUGGGCGGAAGCCUGAUGCAGCAGCGCCGCGUGCGGGAUGACGGCCUUCGGGUUGUAAACCGCUUUCGCCUGUGACGAAGCGUGAGUGACGGUAAUGGGUAAAGAAGCACCGGCUAACUACGUG